UACAGAGGGGGCAAGCGUUGUUCGGAAUUACUGGGCGUAAAGGGCGCGUAGGCGGCCUGUUAAGUCGAACGUGAAAUCCCCGGGCUCAACCCGGGAACUGCGUCCGAUACUGGCAGGCUUGAAUCCGGGAGAGGGAUGCGGAAUUCCAGGUGUAGCGGUGAAAUGCGUAGAUAUCAGGAGGAACACCGGUGGCGAAGGCGGGUCGUCUGGGCCGAUACUGACGCUGAGGAGCGAAAACGUGGGGAGCGGAACAGG
rnacentral:rRNA from 1 species